rnacentral:rRNA from 1 species
UUUGUNAUGGCNGGAAACCCUGAGGCACGACGCCGCGUGGGGGAUGAAUGGCUUCGGCCCGUAAACCCCUGUCAUUUGCGAUCAAACCUUACGACCUAACACGUCGUAAGCUGAUAGUAGCGGAAGAGGAAGGGACGGCUAACUCUGUGCCAGCAGCCGCGGUAAUACAGAGGUCCCAAGCGUUGUUCGGAUUCACUGGGCGUAAAGGGUGCGUAGGCGGUCGGAUAAGUCUGACGUGAAAUCUUCAAGCUCAACUUGGAAACUGCGUCGGAUACUAUUCGGCUAGAGGAAUGGAGGGGAGACUGGAAUACUUGGUGUAGCAGUGAAAUGCGUAGAUAUCAAGUGGAACACCAGUGGCGAAGGCGAGUCUCUGGACAUUUCCUGACGCUGAGGCACGAAAGCCAGGGGAGCAAACGGGAUUAGAUACCCCGGUAGUCCUGGCCCUAAACGGUGCACGUUUGCUGUAAGAGGAAUCGACCCCUUUUGUGGCGAAGCUAACGCGUUAAACGUGCCGCCUGGGAAGUACGGCCGCAAGGUUAAAACUCAAAAAAAUUGACGGA